ACGGAAGAUUUCGACAUGUUUGCCUCCAUCAUCAGGAGGGUGGAGAGCUUGCGCAAGCUCGGAAAUAGUUUCAAAAUCAACAAGAGCUGAACUGGGGUCAGCAAUAUUGCUUUA